rnacentral:misc_RNA from 1 species
AAUGGCUUAUAUUAAUCACACUUAUGUUUCAGAGCACUGGCAAUUUUGCUUGAAAAUGGCAGAAAGAAAUGCAGCAAAGACAAAAGAUAACUCAAAGCUGAAAGCAAAAAUCAGAAAACUUGAACUGGAGAAUCGGGAGUUGGAGAAGGAGCGUGAUGAAGAGUCUAAUAAAUCCAGGUCUUACUCUGAAUUCCUGGAAGGUAUUGUGGUGCAGAUUAAUCAUAAAAGGAAACGGAUGGGGACCAGAACCAGUGGUGGAGUUGAACCUCUGGAGAAAAAGAUUAAACAAGAAUUCUUCCCAGAGGAGUAUGUUGAAGAUAUGAAGGAUGAGGAUAUAAAAAGAGAAAGUGGAAACAUAUUGGACGAAUCUGAACACUUAGUAAAUGUUCUAAUACCAGAUGCCAUUGCUGAUGAUGAAAACAAUCCAAGAAUCCAAGAACAAUCUGAAGAACAAGACUCCAAUGAAAAACUGAAAACUAUGGAAAAGAUCACAGAGCUGAAACUAGAAAACUCUGUUAUCUCAGAAAGCAAUAAGAGACUAUUGAAGGAAAAGGAUGAACAAACAGCAUUUGUUGAUUCCAUCAAGAAUAAGCUUAAAGAAUUCUCAUCAAAUCUACCAAUUCCUACAGCUGAGGAGGGGAGUUCAGGAGGAGCAGGAGAUGAUGGUGUUAUCACCCAGCUCACCAACUUGAUCAACCAGAACCAGGACUUGAAGCAGAAUGUAAGGGACUUAACACAGUUAGUUCAGGGCUUGGAGAAAGAUAAACUGAAAUAUUCAAACGAGAUUGCAAAACUAAAUGAUGAGCUAGCGGCCACCAAGAAGGAUAUUGACGAAAUAAACAACAAAUAUGAAGAAUUAAAUUUGAAGAACAAAAAUGAAGAGCUAAGGAGCAGUCAAUUAAAUAAACUUCUCAAUUCUAAUACAGAAAAAAAUAUCUCCUUAGGUAAAACUAAAGAAAUGCUUGAAAGUAGGAGAGACAGUCUCAAGCUUGUCCUAGCUACCACAAAAAAGAAUGUUGAGAAAUUAAAUGAAGAUGAAACAAUUGAAAAUUUGACAAAGGAAGAAGAAAGCCUGCAGAAUUUGAAGGGAAACAGUUGUGAAGACAUAUUAGCUGAAAUUGAUAAAGGUUUAAAUGAACACAGGACAUCAUGUAAUCUUCAAAAACAAAAACUAAGAAAUGCUGAAAAUGAAUUAUGGUGUUUAAGAGAAUCAAAUAAUAUGCUGAAAAAUGAAAUAUCCAGAAUGGAGGAGGAAAAUGAAGAGAAUGAAGAUGAUUACGAAGAUGAGUAUGAUCUCACCAUAGAAAAUCUGAAAAGAAGUAAUAGUGACCUGAUAAAUCAACUGAAUAAUUUUGCAAACUUUUGUGCUCAAAAAGAUGCUGAAAUCAAGGACCUACGUACCAGAUUGAAAAACUUUAAACGAAAAUACUUCAGAAGAUUUCAGCCCCAUUGGACCAACUGACUGUUCUUUUCAACCCUGUUCACCCAGAUUUACUUGGAUUGAAGUUUUAGUCUGCAAAGAAGGAGAAAACUUGCAAAUGGUUGGUCUUCACAACUUUGCUAAAAAAUGGCAGAAAAUAUUCUCAGUAUUGAAAGGCGUGAAUUAAAGUUGGAAUCAA